ensembl:lncRNA
AGGGGGGGGGGAAACGGGGGGUGUUGGUUUAUUUAUGGCGCUUUGUUCUGCGGCGCUGCUGUUGGGGAUGCGGUGGUGCAGGGAGAGACUUCAGCUUGGAGGGGAGGGUUUGGGGGUGGGGAUGUCCGAAAUGCUGGGGGUGAGCGGCUCCUGGGGGGGGUUCCACGUGGGAUAACAGCAAAAGCAAAGGGCCGGGCCGGGCUGGGCCAGCAGUGAGGCCAAAACGCACCGCUGUGCGCCCCGAAAUCCGCUGCUGGGUGUGCAAAGCGUUGGCGGUGCGUCUUUGCAGAGGGGCAGCUCCCACCACGGCCGUCCAAUUCCGCCUCUUUGGCAGUGGAUUCCCCGGGGUGCACUGCAUCUGUGCGCAGCCACGCCGUGUGUGCGUUGCACAGAGACACCGGCCCUUGGCGUGCUGCUGUGUGUGCAAGGGCGGGCGGUGACGUGCAAUGGUCUGCAAGGACGUGCAAAGGUGUGCAAGGGUGUGUGAUUUGCAAGGAGGUGAGAAGGUAUGCAAGGAUGUGUGAGGGCAGACAACGGUGUGCAGUGGUGUGCAAAGGUGAGCAGGGGUUUGCAAGGAUGUGCAAAGGUGUGCAAGGAUGUGCAAAGGUGUGCAAGGGUGUGUGAUUUGCAAGGAGGUGCAAAGGUGUGCAAGGAUGUGUGAGGGCAGACAAUGGUGUGCAAUGGUGUGCAAAGGUGAGUAGGGGUUUGCAAGGAUGUGCAAAGGUGUGCAAGGGUGUGUGAUUUGCAAGGAGGUGCAAAGGUGUGCAAGGAUGUGUGAGGGCAGACAAUGGUGUGCAAUGGUGUGCAAAGGUGAGUAGGGGUUUGUGCAAGGAUGUGAAAAGGUGUGCAAGGAUGGGUGAGGGCAGACAGCAGUGUGUAAUGGUGUGCAAAGGUGAUUCAGGAUAUGGGAUGCCGGAUAUGGGAUGCAGGAUAUGGGAUGCCGGAUAUGGGAUGCAGGAUGUGGGAUGCGGGAUAUGGGAUGCGGGAUAUGGGAUGCGGGAUGCAGCCGCGGGCUGCGGGCUCGGGGAGGCGAUGCUGCGGGGC